rnacentral:rRNA from 1 species
UACGUAGGUGGCAAGCGUUGUCCGGAUUUACUGGGCGUAAAGGGCGUGCAGGCGGUUGGUUAAGUCCAGGGUGAAAGCUCCCGGCCCAACUGGGAGAGGUCCUUGGAUACUGGCCGACUUGAGGGAGGCAGAGGAGAGUGGAAUUCCCGGUGUAGUGGUGAUAUGCGUAGAUAUCGGGAGGAACACCAGUGGCGAAGGCGGCUCUCUGGGCCUUACCUGACGCUGAGACGCGAAAGCGUGGGGAGCGAACCGG